UAAAGAUCCAAGAUGGCUGUUUAUUUAUUUCUGCUGCAGCAGAGGAGCAGCUCGUGUCAGGAGCUGAUUAUAAAUUAAAAUAAGAUGGUUUCUCUGGAUUGACUCGUGUGUCUGACUCGCUGUGAUGGUGUUCGAGCUCCUGAGCAGGCUGCAGUACUUUCAGCAACCAGUCGGGGGCGACCCUGCAUCACGUCAGUCAGACUGGAAAAAGGCAGAGUCUCCACGGCAGAUCCCAGUUCAGCCCAACAAUAAUCCUGUGUAGCGGCUCAUGGUGCCAGUUUGAAGGGCACUGGGAGCAGAGCGUUGUCUUUCAUCAGCUACAACCUCAACACCUCCUCGACUGUCAUGGAGAAAAGAGAAGAAGAAGAAAUAGAAGAAGAAGAAGAAGAAGAAACGACCCGGGCCUUCUCCUCGCAAUCCCUCAUUCGUUGAUGCUCCUCCUCUCCCGGAUCAUCAGCUUCUUCAUCUUCAUCCGCCUGUUCUGGAACCAGAUCUUGACCUGCCGCUCUGUGAGGUUUAAGAGUCCCGCCACCUCCAGGCGCCGGUCCCGGGUCAGGUACAUGUUGUAGAGGAACUCCUUCUCCAGCUCCAGGGUCUGGUGCUUGGUGUAGGGACAGCGCUUCUUCCGGGUCGACUUGGCGUGGAU